GGGUUGUGAGGUUAAGCGACUAAGCGUACACGGUGGAUGCCCUGGCAGUCAGAGGCGAUGAAGGGCGUGCUAAUCUGCGAUAAGCGCCGGUAAGGUGAUAUGAACCGUUAUAACCGGCGAUACCCGAAUGGGGAAACCCAGUGUGAUUCGUCACACUAUCAUUAACUGAAUCCAUAGGUUAAUGAGGCGAACCGGGGGAACUGAAACAUCUAAGUACCCCGAGGAAAAGAAAUCAACCGAGAUUCCCCCAGUAGCGGCGAGCGAACGGGGAGGAGCCCAGAGCCUGAAUCAGCAUGUGUGUUAGUGGAAGCGUCUGGAAAGGCGCGCGAUACAGGGUGACAGCCCCGUACACAAAAGCGCAUGUGCUGUGAGCUCGAUGAGUAGGGCGGGACACGUGGUAUCCUGUCUGAAUAUGGGGGGACCAUCCUCCAAGGCUAAAUACUCCUGACUGACCGAUAGUGAACCAGUACCGUGAGGGAAAGGCGAAAAGAACCCCGGCGAGGGGAGUGAAAAAGAACCUGAAACCGUGUACGUACAAGCAGUGGGAGCCCGUGACUGCGUACCUUUUGUAUAAUGGGUCAGCGACUUAUAUUCUGUAGCAAGGUUAACCGAAUAGGGGAGCCGGAGGGAAACCGAGUCUUAAUUGGGCGUUAAGUUGCAGGGUAUAGACCCGAAACCCGGUGAUCUAGCCAUGGGCAGGUUGAAGGUUGGGUAACACUAACUGGAGGACCGAACCGACUAAUGUUGAAAAAUUAGCGGAUGACCUGUGGCUGGGGGUGAAAGGCCAAUCAAACCGGGAGAUAGCUGGUUCUCCCCGAAAGCUAUUUAGGUAGCGCCUCGUGAAUUCAUCUCCGGGGGUAGAGCACUGUUUCGGCUAGGGGGCCAUCCCGGCUUACCAACCCGAUGCAAACUGCGAAUACCGGAGAAUGUUAUCACGGGAGACACACGGCGGGUGCUAACGUCCGUCGUGAAGAGGGAAACAACCCAGACCGCCAGCUAAGGUCCCAAAGUCAUGGUUAAGUGGGAAACGAUGUGGGAAGGCCCAGACAGCCAGGAUGUUGGCUUAGAAGCAGCCAUCAUUUAAAGAAAGCGUAAUAGCUCACUGGUCGAGUCGGCCUGCGCGGAAGAUGUAACGGGGCUAAACCAUGCACCGAAGCUGCGGCAGCGAACGUUGGGUAGGGGAGCGUUCUGUAAGCCUGUGAAGGUGGCCUGUGAGGGUUGCUGGAGGUAUCAGAAGUGCGAAUGCUGACAUAAGUAACGAUAAAGCGGGUGAAAAGCCCGCUCGCCGGAAGACCAAGGGUUCCUGUCCAACGUUAAUCGGGGCAGGGUGAGUCGACCCCUAAGGCGAGGCCGAAAGGCGUAGUCGAUGGGAAACGGGUUAAUAUUCCCGUACUUGGUGUUACUGCGAAGGGGGGACGGAGAAGGCUAUGUUGGCCGGGCGACGGUUGUCCCGGUUUAAGCGUGUAGGCUGGUUUUCCAGGCAAAUCCGGAAAAUCAAGGCUGAGGCGUGACGACGAGGCACUACGGUGCUGAAGCAACAAAUGCCCUGCUUCCAGGAAAAGCCUCUAAGCAUCAGGUAACAUCAAAUCGUACCCCAAACCGACACAGGUGGUCAGGUAGAGAAUACCAAGGCGCUUGAGAGAACUCGGGUGAAGGAACUAGGCAAAAUGGUGCCGUAACUUCGGGAGAAGGCACGCUGACACGUAGGUGAAGUGAUUUACUCAUGGAGCUGAAGUCAGUCGAAGAUACCAGCUGGCUGCAACUGUUUAUUAAAAACACAGCACUGUGCAAACACGAAAGUGGACGUAUACGGUGUGACGCCUGCCCGGUGCCGGAAGGUUAAUUGAUGGGGUCAGCGCAAGCGAAGCUCCUGAUCGAAGCCCCGGUAAACGGCGGCCGUAACUAUAACGGUCCUAAGGUAGCGAAAUUCCUUGUCGGGUAAGUUCCGACCUGCACGAAUGGCGUAAUGAUGGCCAGGCUGUCUCCACCCGAGACUCAGUGAAAUUGAACUCGCUGUGAAGAUGCAGUGUACCCGCGGCAAGACGGAAAGACCCCGUGAACCUUUACUAUAGCUUGACACUGAACAUUGAGCCUUGAUGUGUAGGAUAGGUGGGAGGCUUUGAAGUGAUCCGGGUUGCGGACAGUGUCUGGUGGGUAGUUUGACUGGGGCGGUCUCCUCCUAAAGAGUAACGGAGGAGCACGAAGGUUGGCUAAUCCUGGUCGGACAUCAGGAGGUUAGUGCAAUGGCAUAAGCCAGCUUGACUGCGAGCGUGACGGCGCGAGCAGGUGCGAAAGCAGGUCAUAGUGAUCCGGUGGUUCUGAAUGGAAGGGCCAUCGCUCAACGGAUAAAAGGUACUCCGGGGAUAACAGGCUGAUACCGCCCAAGAGUUCAUAUCGACGGCGGUGUUUGGCACCUCGAUGUCGGCUCAUCACAUCCUGGGGCUGAAGUAGGUCCCAAGGGUAUGGCUGUUCGCCAUUUAAAGUGGUACGCGAGCUGGGUUUAGAACGUCGUGAGACAGUUCGGUCCCUAUCUGCCGUGGGCGCUGGAGAACUGAGGGGGGCUGCUCCUAGUACGAGAGGACCGGAGUGGACGCAUCACUGGUGUUCGGGUUGUCAUGCCAAUGGCACUGCCCGGUAGCUAAAUGCGGAAGAGAUAAGUGCUGAAAGCAUCUAAGCACGAAACUUGCCCCGAGAUGAGUUCUCCCUGAGACUUAGAGUCUCCUGAAGGAACGUUGAAGACGACGACGUUGAUAGGCCGGGUGUGUAAGCGCAGCGAUGCGUUGAGCUAACCGGUACUAAUGAACCGUGAGGCUUAACCUUACAACGCCGAAG
rnacentral:rRNA from 1 species